rnacentral:rRNA from 1 species
AGACUCAGUGAAAUUGAACUCGCUGUGAAGAUGCAGUGUACCCGCGGCAAGACGGAAAGACCCCGUGAACCUUUACUAUAGCUUGACACUGAACACUGGUCCUUGAUGUGUAGGAUAGGUGGGAGGCUUUGAAGCGCGGACGCCAGUUCGUGUGGAGCCAUCCUUGAAAUACCACCCUUUAAUGGCUGGUGUUCUAACGUGGGCCCGUAAUCCGGGUUGCGGACAGUGUCUGGUGGGUAGUUUGACUGGGGCGGUCUCCUCCUAAAGAGUAACGGAGGAGCACGAAGGUUAGCUAAUCCUGGUCGGACAUCAGGAGGUUAGUGCAAAGGCAUAAGCUAGCUUGACUGCGAGCGUGACGGCGCGAGCAGGUGCGAAAGCAGGUCUUAGUGAUCCGGUGGUUCUGAAUGGAAGGGCCAUCGCUCAACGGAUAAAAGGUACUCCGGGGAUAACAGGCUGAUACCGCCCAAGAGUUCAUAUCGACGGCGGUGUUUGGCACCUCGAUGUCGGCUCAUCACAUCCUGGGGCUGAAGUAGGUCCCAAGGGUAUGGCUGUUCGCCAUUUAAAGUGGUACGCGAGCUGGGUUUAGAACGUCGUGAGACAGUUCGGUCCCUAUCUGCCGUGGGCGCUGGAGAAUUGAGGGGGGCUGCUCCUAGUACGAGAGGACCGGAGUGGACGCAUCACUGGUGUUCGGGUUGUCAUGCCAAUGGCAUUGCCCGGUAGCUAAAUGCGGGAGAGAUAAGUGCUGAAAGCAUCUAAGCACGAAACUUGCCCCGAGAUGAGUUCUCCCUGACCCUUUAAGGGUCCUGAAGGAACGUUGAAGACGACGACGUUGAUAGGUCGGGUGUGUAAGCGUAGCGAUACGUUGAGCUAACCGAUACUAAUGAACCGUGAGGCUUAACCUUACAACGCCGAAG